rnacentral:lncRNA from 1 species
CCAAGCUCCUUUGUUCCCCAAUCUUGUUCGGCCAAAUUCGUUACCGUGGUGCACUCCCGGCCCGAUUCCUCGCAGCCACGGCGCCUACUCGUUGUCCCGCAUCCAUUUUGCUACUUCCCGAACUCCCUCCCUCACCGGACGAUACCCUCCACAGGAGCUCCUCUGCUGCCCCCUUCCUGUGCCAUCCUCCCUAUGCGCUGCCCCUCCUCCAAGCGCCUCCUCCUCUGCUGGUGAGACCCCUAGCCCAAGGUGCCAUUCCUCUCCCUCCCCAAGCCAUGCCCCUUCCUUUCCUCCUGAUUCCGACCGGCCCAAGUGCCAUGCGCCAUGCCUGUGAACCGUGCGUGCCUCUGUCUGUGCGUGAGGGAGUUGAGUAGAGAAGAAAUAGGAAACGUAGGUGGUUAUGGGGAAGUUUCAGGGAUGUUUGCGCAAUUAACUCGUAGACCUAGGGGGUAGAUCGUAAGAUCGUCUUGGUUUUGUUUAUUUUUCUAGAUCUAAAAAGGCUGACACUUUAAAAAUUCGUAGUAAAUUGUAGAAAAAUUGUAAAAUAUCAAAUGAGGACCUUUUGAAAUCCUUGAUAGAAGAAUCACACAGUAGAGUUAUAAUAUGAUAUGUUUUAGUAGAAAGUUUCUGAUGUUUUUAUUUAUUCUUUCAAAGUGCUUUUAGAAAUCCUUUUAAGUUGUUAGAUGCACAUCUUGAGUUAUAGAAGUCCAAAACUUGUGAUUCCAGUUGUGUUGGUAUUGUAAUGACACCCUCUAGAUAAUAAAAAUAUUAAACAUGCUAGUUGUUUUAUGUUUUUAACAUGUUUUGAUUUAAUCUUGAUAAAUAGGCAAAUUCUAGCUUGUCGUGCUCAUCAUUUUCAUAUCUAAAGUUGUGAUGCUCCAAUCAUUGUGAAAUUUUUAUGGUAGGCUAUACAUGAUUCUGUUGUGCUAUGGUAAAAAGUUCAUAUUGAUUGGUGCAUGUAUGACUGAGUUAUUGAUUUAAAUUGUUAUUGCUUCAUAAAUGAUUUUAAAUAAGUUAUAACUUUCAUGUAGGUGUAAAAAUGGGAAAUGUGGUUCCACUACCUUUGUAUGAUGUUUUUCUACCAUAAUAACAUAUUAUAUGUCUAUGUGUUCAUAUACAAUGAUGAUCUUUAGAUUUAUCUUGCUUUUACAUGUUUUCUUGCAUUAGCAAAUUAUCCUUUUCGUAGAAAUUAAUUUAUACAACUUAAGCAUGUGAAAUUUGUGCAGUAGCCAUGUUCUUAUAGCAUCUACCACUCACAAAAAUCUCAGCCCCAAACUAGUUGUUCUCAUAUGAAAGUUUGCUAAGUCAUGUGAAGCUUUUAGUAGUUGUUUUUGAGGGGUACAUAUGAUGCUAAAUUAUGAUAAGUAGUGGUUAAGCUAUGAAUAUAACUCAUAUGUAUGCUCUCAUGUUAAUAUAACAGCUACUUAUAUAAGUUCUUCACCUUUGCUUUGAUUCUUGCUUAAGGUAUUUAGGGUGUUCCAUGUUACCUAAAGCUAACGCUAUUUAACUAUGUUCAUAGUAUUUAUGAGCUAUGUAUUUAACUUAUGCAUAUGUUACCUUGUUAAAGAAAUAAAUGAAGAACCUUGUUGCAUAUGUGCUAAAAUGGCUGCUAGAGUAGUUUCUGUUGUGGCAAUAUUUUUGUGAUGCAAAUGAUGUUUUAUGUCAAUAUGGUGAAUACAAAAGCUGUAGGUAACUUCAUAAUAUAGCUUUUGUUAAAUUUUCAUGACCCUAAGCCUGAUGGUUUAGGGGCUAUAAAUUUUACAAGUUCAUCGUCAGGUUUUGCGUGCUCUAUGUAUAGGUCUGAAUGAUUGCGUUGUUUGACUUAACGAAGCUUUGAACCAUAUCUUGAAGAUAAUAUAAUAAGUGUAAUGGUUUUCAUGAGCUUUCCAAAUUGUUAAAGAUCACCCCUUUUUGUGGUCUAAAUCUCCAGCUGUAGCUUGUGAAGUGGAACGAUAGGAUCUGUCCUAAUCUGGACAGAGAUAUCUUCUUUGUGAUGUUUGACCUGGUUAACUGGGGUUUUAGCUUGUGGUGUUUACAAUAAAGUUGUGCUUGAUUUGUUAAUAUUUCUAAAAAGUCUAUAAUAACCUUGUUGUGAAAGCUAUAACUCUAGAUAUGGCUGUCUAAAGUUUAAUGUCAGAAUCUGUCCAUGUUUGGACGGAUUUGCUUCUUUGUGUUGUGUAGUCUUGUUAACUAUUGAAUCAUUUUGAGAUGACAAUAAUAAAAUUAGGUUUCUACCAAGUUAAUAAUCAUGGUUGUUGGAGGUUUAGAACUCCAGAUAUGCAUAUGUGAAGUUCGUGUCAGUUUUCUAUCCUUGUUUGUACACAUCUGCUCAUUGGUGUGUUUUCUCCAUGUUAUUUGUUGAAUCAGCUUUUGGUGUGAGUAGCAAAGUUUUAGAUAACUUACUUAAAUUUGCAAAAAGUCUAGGAUCACCCUUUUUGGAUGCUUAUAUCUCUAGUUAUAGCUAAACAAGUGACUACUGUGCUGCUGUCCAGAUUCGGUGUAUGUGCUUAAGUUAUUAGCUUUAACUUGACAUUUCCUUGUAUGUUUGUUAGUUAGCUCAUAUCACUAUUAGAUUUAAAUUGAUUUACCUGAGAAUAUUAUAAAUGUGUUAUAUAAUGUUGGUCAAGCACUUAACUAAUAAAUGGUCAUGUAUACAUGUUGUUACGAAAUAACCUUGCUGCAUAGCUUGCUAGAACCUUACUGAUGUUGGUGUGUGACUUGCUUAUGUAUGAGUGGUUUAAAAACAAAUGUAAUAUACUUUGAUCACCUUCAACUUGCUGGUUGUGUGAUGAACUUAUAUAUGCCAUGUUGAUAAGCACCAUUACCCUAGUUCUUGUAUGAUGCUAGGCUUAAUUAGCUCUUGAUUGUUAAAUGCUUGCAAUAGCUUGACUUAAGUUAACUUGUGUGCCAUGCUUGUUAGGCUUGCUAUCUCUAUGGAGACUUGAGUGAUAGUUAGUUAAAUAACUUGCUCUCUAAGUGCUUAUAUCUUGUGGUGUAACCUUGUGCAUGUCCCGAAUGCUUUUGUGUGAUGCAUCUCUUUUUACCAUUCUUUGUAUUCAUGCUGUUGCAUCUUGCAUCUCAUCUAGAUACGCUAGAUAAACCACGUGAAGGACGUGAUGAUGGAACCGAACCCGAAGACGGUGUAUGGUGGAGCUAUCCCGAAGAUGGAAGGAUUAAGCAUGUGCCGAGAUGGGAGAUGCUCGCCAAGCGAGUGUCAUCUAACAAACACUAACCUAGUGUGGUUUCCAGGCAAGCCCCAGUGCAUGCUUACCUAUUUUAAAAAGUUAUGCAAUAUGUUGAUGCUUAUGAUUGUGCAUUUACAUUUAUAGAAGUUGAAUGACACCUUAGAUGCAUGAACUUAGUACCCUUUUGAUCUGAACACUAGCAUGAUAAGUUGUGUAGAUGCAAUUCUUAAUAGGACAUGUAAAAGUCGAGUGAUUUCCUGUCACUCGCAAGUUAGAGGAGUUGUUUGUUUACUUAUGUUACAACCAUAAGGACGAUGGGCGGGGUAGGGCCUUGGGAACUAUUUUGGUGGUCAGUGGAUUGCCCUGUCUGUCUAAAUGAAAAUGGACUAAGGUCGAAACGUGUCGGCAUUCAUGAUCAAGUGUUUGAAAGUACUAAUCUCAUACCUAGGAAGGGGUUGCGAAAGCCUAGUACCUGAUUGAACUGGGGCGUGGCAUACCCUCCGGCUGUCCUUGGAACGUUGUUCCCAUGGUGCAUCAUGUGGGUGCAAGUGCGGUCAUAGUACGGCAGAGGCCGGGAUUAUGGAGCAUUGCAUGCCAAAGGAAGUUGGCUCUAACACAUGCCUAAGGAAUUGAUGGGGACGGCUGACAAAGGAAGUGACCCUUCGUGGUGCGCGGAUGUCGUGAGAUUAGGUUCGCCAUGCAUGGUUAAGAAAUUUGAAUCGAUUUGUCUGCCUCUCACAGUUUGGGACUGCUUGAUCACUAUUCUGCACUGAGUAAAGAUGAAACAUGAUAAUGAUAUUAAACUUGAUGCUUGUUCUUUAAUUGUUUGGAAACUAUGCUUGCUCAGUGUAAGUUGCUAAUCUAGACUAGUUAAUGAACUUAGAACUUGAGCUAAAAUAUUGAAAGUAAGGACCAACUUUAGUCGUUUUUGGCAAAAACAAACCCACCGCCAAAGAGCCUUGCAUGUUUAGGAGUCGGUGGAGUAGUUACCACCUGACGGGUAAGUCUUGUUGAGUAUUAGUAUACUCAGCCUUGCUUGUGGCUUCUUUUUCAGGUGUGGUUGUUGGUGUUGUCUUGUUCGGGACUCAUCCUCGGUCGGCAAGGAUAGGGGUCAUUGAUGUCAUGAUCGGCUUCGUCAUGAUAUCAUGUAUCGACGUUUAGCUAACGCUUGUUUUACAUCUUCGUUGUUUGAAACCUUGC